rnacentral:rRNA from 1 species
CUCAGAGUGAACGCUGGCGGCAGGCCUAAUACAUGCAAGUCGAACGGCAGCACAGCAGAGCUUGCUCUGUGGGUGGCGAGUGGCGGACGGGUGAGGAAUACGUGGGAAUCUGCCCAGUCGUGGGGAUAACGUAGGGAAACUUACGCUAAUACCGCAUGCGCCCUUCGGGGGAAAGCCGGGGACCUUCGGGCCUGGCGCGAUUGGAUGAGCCCACGUCGGAUUAGCUAGUUGGCGGGUAAAGGCCCACCAAGGCGACGAUCCGUAGCUGGUCUGAGAGGAUGAUCAGCCACACUGGAACUGAGACACGGUCCAGACUCCUACGGGAGGCAGCAGUAGGGAAUAUUGGACAAUGGGCGCAAGCCUGAUCCAGCCAUGCCGCGUGAGUGAAGAAGGCCCUCGGGUUGUAAAGCUCUUUUGUCCGGAAAGAAAAGCGCCGGGUUAAUACCCUGGUGUCCUGACGGUACCGGAAGAAUAAGCACCGGCUAACUUCGUG